UACGGAAGGGGCUAGCGUUGUUCGGAAUCACUGGGCGUAAAGCGCGCGUAGGCGGCCGGUCAAGUGCGGCGUGAAAGUCCUGGGCUCAACCCGGGGACGGCGCUGCGGACUGUUCGGCUGGAGUCCGGAAGAGGGUGGUGGAAUUCCGAGUGUAGAGGUGAAAUUCGUAGAUAUUCGGAGGAACACCGGUGGCGACGGCGGCCACCUGGUCCGGUACUGACGCUCAAGCGCGAAAGCGUGGGGAGCAAACAGG
rnacentral:rRNA from 1 species